UUUAGCCGGUCGGGAUGGUUGCUAGAUAUUUUUUACGACAUAAAAAUUAAUAAAGUUCACGAUUUACCUUACCUAAAUGCGAAAUUAUACAAGAAACACUGGUAGACAAAACUGGUCUGAGGAAAGUUUAAAAAGGGCAAUUAAAGGCGUAAGAAACCGUGAGUUAAAUUAUCGCCAAGCUCAAAAUAAAUGCGGAGUUAUGGCAUCCACACUUUGUCGCAAAGUUGCUGAAUAUGUCCAAAAUAAUAGCAUAGAAAUAGUUUGUCAGAAAGGUAGGUACAGUCAUACACCACUGGAUGUUAGAUUUAUGAAGCCUUUAGUCAUUAUUACACAGAUGAAGUGAAUCAGUGGCUCCAAGCAAAUCUAGGUUACAUAGUAACACUGAAUCAGAUAUUUCAGCUCUUCGGUAACGCAUUUCUAAAGUCAGCUACGAUGAGCACUGCCAUAAAUGGAUUUCGCAAGACAUGAAUUUUUCCUGUAAAUCCUAACGUAUUCACGGACGUGGACUUUCUUCCUGUUGAGAAGAACAUUGCGCUUGUUGAAGAUCGGAUUCCUGCUAAUCAGAAUGACUUAACGAAGGCGCAAUUGGUCGUUGAAGUGAUUCAAGAGACUGAAUGCGAAACGCAGAUGAACAAACGAUUUGAUAAAGGAAACAGCAACACUUUUCCGCAACGAUCCGAUGUUCAAGGAACUGCUUCUGUCGACACUCUUUUAUUUGCUCCUCUGAUUUCUGAUCUAAUUUCUGAAUUUAAAUCGUUUUCUCACGACAUUCAAGAGAUUAGCCGUGAAAUGCAAGAAAGUCAGGGAGCACACGUAGAAAAUAAUUUAACGAAAAGCUCAGAAGUCGAAGUGACUGCUCCUGUGAUUUCUCUUGGGUCUUCUGUGACAGUGUGCCAGAAUAAUGAAGAAGGUGAAGCCAUUGUUCCAAUCGACUGCCAGAUUUCAGACUUGAACGCUGUCGCUUUGAAUGCUCAGGAAGUUUUAGAAGAAACAUCUAAAGCUUGAGAAGAGAUUCAGCGUAAGGUCUCCAAAGAAACUGGAGAGACCAAAAACUUUCUUUCUUCUAACUCGAUUAUUGUACCACUUCGACGAACAAAUGCUCCACAGCAGCGCGGGCGUCCAAAACGAACAGCGGCAAUAAUAACCAGCCAACAGUAAAAACAGUCCCUCUCAGAAAAGCCUAAAAAGUUACAGAGUAUCUCACGAGGACGUACUUCACGAAGACGGGGCCGAUCAUGCAACAAGUCAUAUGAAUCGUCAAAAAAUAAUCGUCGAAGAGAUUCCACGUUUCUAUAAUACUGAAUUUAAUAGUUUCGUGAAUCUGCCUUGCAUUGAAGAGAAAGCACAAAUUGAAUUACCUGGUAGUACUAAAGUUAUUGAAUUCGAUUUUGCAGACUUUAAUAUCAAUCACCUUCCAGUACAAAUUGUUUGACCACAGUUAAAAGAAGAAAUAAAACAGAACGCUGGCAUGUAUCAAAUUGGAUCUCAUCCGUAUCAAAAGCCGAAGAGAACAGUGGCAAUAAGAAAUUCGAACGAAAAUUAUUUGUCCUGAAAAUCAAAAGUUUCAAUGAAGAAAAUUGCGAUAGGAGUCCCAGAAAUAAAAAUACUAAAAUAUAUUGUUAACAUUUGUAUACCGGUACACCAAUCCCAAUCAGUAUUGCAACAAGUUCCAUAUUACUCUACAGUUUCUAGUCAUUAAAAUAUCAUUUAGUAGAUUCUAAGUUGAAUCAAUCGUUAUGUUUAAAUCAUUUUAGUUGGCGUAUUAUUUGUCACCUAUUCUUUUAAAAAAAAAG